AAUUAAUGAACUUGAAUAAGUAUAUAUUUUGAAAAUAUAAUAAAGGGAUAAAAAUUCCCUAUUAAUUU
rnacentral:tRNA from 1 species